rnacentral:rRNA from 1 species
AGGACGAACGCUUGCGACGUGCCUGAGAAAUGCAAGUCGAGCGGGUGGAAGGCUUCGGUUUUCCAUUAGCGGCGAACGGUCGAGUAACACGUAACCGACCUGCCUUCGGGUCUGGGAUAGCCCGUCGAAAGACGGCGUAAUACCGGAUGGUCUCAACGGGACGCAUGUUUUGUUGAGUAAAGGCUAGUAUGCCCGAAGAGGGGGUUGCGGCCUAUCAGCUGGUUGGCGGGGUAACGGCCCACCAAGGCGACGACGGGUAGCUGGUCUGAGAGGAUGGCCAGCCGGAUUGGGACUGAGACACGGCCCAAACUCCUACGGGGGGCAGCAAUCAGGAAUCUUGCGCAAUGGGGGCAACCCUGACGCAGCGACGUCGCGUGGAGGAAGACGGCCUUCGGUUGUAACUCCUUUACCAGGAAGAGCAAGGACGGUACCUGGUGAAUAAGCCCCGGCUAACUCCGCGCCAGCAGCCGC